GACGAACGCUGGCGGCGUGCUUAACACAUGCAAGUCGAACGGAAAGGCCUGCUUUCCCUUGUGGAUUGCGGGUACUCGAGUGGCGAACGGGUGAGUAACACGUGAGUGAUCUGCCCUCAACUUGGGUAUAAGCCUGGGAAACUGGGUCUAAUUCCCGAUAGGACUGCAGGGUGGUGCCUGUGGUGGAAAACGAUUUUCUAGUGGUUGGGGAUGAGCUCGCGGCCUAUCAGCUCGUUGGUGGGGUAAUGGCCUACCAAGGCGGCGACGGGUAGCCGGCCUGAGGGGGUGGACGGGCACAUUGGGACUGAGAAACGGCCCAGACACCUACGGGAGGCAGCAGUGGGGAAUAUUGGACGAUGGGCGGAAGCCUGAUGCAGCGACGCCGCGUGGAGGAUGACGGCCUUCGGGUUGUAAACUCCUUUCGACCGCGAGGAAGCCACCUGGUUGGAAGGGUGGUGACGGUAGUGGUAGAAGAAGCACCGGCUAACUACGUG
rnacentral:rRNA from 1 species